UGGCGGAUGAAUGAGUGCAGAGCGCGCGCUCUCGGCGCCAAACAGAAACUUUCCUCCGCGCUUCAUCGCUGUUUAAUUAUUUGUUUUAUUAAUGUUCUUCAGAUUUUUUCUUUCUUUAGUUUUCAUCGGUGUUUUGAGUCGCGAUCCCAAAGGUUAUUUUAGUUUCACGCUGAAAAACUGAGAGUUUAUCGCGCGUUUCGUGCAGGAAGAGAAGAAAGAGUUUAAAAUGGCAGAUGAUUCUGAUCAGAGAUCAGUUUUAAUGGAGAUCCCAGAACCACAGGCCAAGAUCACAGGACGUCUGAGGAGAUCCUACAUGGAUGUGCUGUCCGGCGGAGCGAGACACGGGAGACGGGGACACGCGUGUGUGUGUGUGUGUCGUGACGUCAGGACUCUCAAACACUCCUCCGUGUCUGAAGUGGACGCAGGUCGAGAGAGACGCCGGACUCCAGGCCGUUUGGACACGUGUGUGACGUCCGUCUCCAGACACCUGCUCAGAAGUCUUCUGCUGGCCGAGCAGUCCGUUCAGAUGGCGUCCGUCUCGCUGACCUCUGACCUCAGGCUCUUACUGGAGGAUCUGCAUCAGAAGAAGAGCAGCGUGUACAGAUCCAUCCCAUACUCCCGUCUGGGCUCCAACAGAGACGCACACUGCUUCAGGAAAGCCCGGCCUCAGCUGAUGGCCUUCAGGCGCUCGUGUCAGGACGGAGGCCGUCUGCUGCUGCAGGAAGCUCAGUGGGAGAAGCUGCUGGAGUUCGUUCAGACGGCGUGUCGCUACGCCAGCGAGCUCCCGCAGUGGGAGACCAGCUCCCAUAAUGCACUGCAGGAGCACUGCUACAACACGCUAGCAGCGUUCUGUACCGCGGCGCUGAGGAAACACAGACCCAGCGCACGCAGAGCUCGAGAACUGCUGCGCAGGUUCAAAAUGGCUCCGGUGUCGAGUCACGUGAUCGGGCCGUGUUUAGAAGAGCUGGAGAAGAUCCUGCAGGGAUAUCAGAGCGGAGAAUCACACACACAGAUCCUCCUGAGUGACGUCGCUGAGGUCUCACUGUGAUGCACGUCGAUCCGUCAGCGCACGAGACCCCGCCCAGCAGCGUGAGACCCCGCCCACCGGCGCACGAGACCCCGCCCACAUCGCUCGAGACCCCGCCCACCAGAGUGAGACCCCGUCCAUAUAGACAGACAUUUUGUGGACUUGAGCCAGCGCUGACAUCACAUCUCUAGACGGAGUCUAAUGCAGAGGAAGCAGUAGAUGCUCCUAACCCGUCAUCAUCAGGUGUUUCCUGCUGUUCUCAGAUCAGUCACUGGGUGGCAGUCAUCACACACUUCUGGGACUCACAAAAACUACAAACAUGAAGAAGCUGAAAUAUAAGGAAAUAUAAAAAUACAAUUCUAUUCUAGUGACAUCUGUGUGGUUUAUAUGAUCCUAAUGUUCUGAUGGGAUUGAGAGCGGUGACCAACUCCUUCAGUCCAGCAUCGGAGCGCUGUGGAGCAGGUGUCUCAGGUCUGAUCUCUGGUCAAACAGACAGUGUUCAAGUGUCCGGCUCUGAUCUAAUGAGCUGGAAUUAAACUGCUCUUUAAUUUAAACAGAGGAUCUGGACGUGGUCAGGAGCACUGAUGGAGUCCAGAUUCAGAGUCCUGUGAAGAACCAACUGAAACUAAUACAUCAACGGGGAAAUAAGUUUAAUGUUGCAUCAGUUAAACAGUUUAAACACUGGAAGAUAAGAGUGCACUGUUCAGGCCAGGUGAGGUCUGUGCUGUCAGAUACAUGUGGAUCCGAAUGAAAAGGUCAAAGGUCACAGAACUGAUGAGGGCAGGAGGUUUCACAACACUUUCAGCUGCAGUGGCACAAGUUACACAUCAGGUCCAGAGGAAACAGGUGUGUGUGUGUGUGUGUGUGCUCGGCCACCUGGAGGACAAACACAUCUCAGGGUGACAGGUCUGUCCGAGCGGAAAACACAAACACACAAUAACCUUGUAAAGCAGGAAAGGAUUUCAAACUUGUAAUUAAUAAGUUCACGCAUCUUUAACUCUGUCUUUAUUCAUGAGCAUCUGCCUCCUCUGACCCUCGGAGCCGAUGGAGUUAUUGCAUAUUAAACAGCUGCAAUCAGACCGUUGCUCAUUUCUCAGACUGCGGAGGAAGUAGAAAUACAUCUGAAGAAAGUGAACGCUGGACUUCCUGUUGACUUUCUCUGUCUGAAGAUGAUCUCCUCUCCGCUUGGACAUGACACACAGCCGGACGAGCCCGGAGCGUGGUGAUCAUCAUCAAUAACGGACUCACAGUGAGGACAUUUGUUCACACACACACACACACACUCAUUUGCCCUGUGGAGACACAGUUAAACACUCAGAAUGAUGAAGCAGUUUGUUCUGUCUGGCCAAAAUAUAUUUUAAAUAUGCUAAUAUAUAUGUUGUAAACAGUGAAGUUUUUUUUUUUUUUAACUGAAAAUAUAUUUAGUUGCAACCUUAAUAAAUCAAAUAUAUUUUAAAAUACAUUUCAGGGACAAGAAAAUACAUUUCCAAUCCUACAGUAGCCUACGUUUAAUGUAGACUUCUAGCUCACCAGAGAUUAUAAUGUUUUAUAUUUAUUUUUAGCAUGUUCCUUGUUGAUUUUUAUUCAGUUAUGUGAUUAUUGUGUUCUAUGUACACACGUAUUGUAAAAAAACGUCUUUUUUCAAAUGUGGCAUUUGUGAAUGUAUAUGUAUUUUAAAUUGCUCUUAAAAAUAUAUUUAAAUAUUUCAAUUAUAUAUAUUCAUACAGUAUAUAUGUAUGUAUAACAGCUGAUGAUUUCGCCACAUUCUUCACAGACAGACCACAACGAUCAGUAGUCAGUUCUCAUCUCCACACACACUGCUAAAACUCCCAUCCUUUCCUUUUGUCCCCUCACUGAAGCAGAGGUAUCCAAACUUCUCCUCUCCAGCCAUCCUACAACAUCUAGACACAAUCCCCUCACAUCUCCUCCAAGCAAUCUCUCCUAGUCUUUUACUAGCACUCACACACACAUCAUCAACACAUCUCUCCUCACAGACACCUGUGUACAUUAAACACAUCACUUACAGAUAGCUGCAGACCUGUGUCUCUCAGGUCUUUCAGGGUGGCUUGGUAUCCAAAGCCAACAACUUGUCACUGGGGUUCCUCAGGGAUCAGUUCUGGGACCCCUCCUCUUCUUCUUCUCCAUAUAAACGACAUCACUGGGUCCCAUCAUACAGGCACAUGGCUUCUCCUACCAUUGUUAUACUGAUGACACACAGCUCUAUCCUUCAUUUCAACCAGAUGAUCUAACGGUAGCUGCACAGAUCUCAGGCUGCCUGGUGGACAUCUCGGCAUGGAUGAAAGAAUAUCACUUACAGCUCAACCUGGCAAAGACUGAGCUUCUUGUCUUCCAUGCCACUCCAGCUCUACAGCAUGAUUUCUCCAUACAGCUAGGAUCUUCUACAAUUACCCCAUCAACUUCGGUCAGAAAUCUUGGUGUUAUAUUUGAUGCAAUUGCUAUUGCAAUAACAUUGCAAAGACUGCUUGAUCUUGCAUCACACAUGAACUCUUGAUAAGCACGAGUAGGAUGCUUUCAGAAUCAAAGUCAUUCUUUCAGGUGUUUUCUAGAAGUCGUGAUCUGUGCUAAUUAUAGAGUCGUGAUGUUAAAAGACUAAUUUGGCACGGGCUCCCUAGAGAUUCCCCUCUGGGCUUUAUAGCACACGUCCAUCACGUAGAGUGUUU